GGGCGGCUAGCUCAGUGGUAGAGCAUUUCUUUGACGUAGAAAGGGUCGAAGGUCCGAUUCCUUCGCCGCCCACCA
rnacentral:tRNA from 1 species